CCUGACCGGCGGGUGCGCGCGCCGCCAGGCACGUGGGGCCCUUUCGUCCCCGGCGUCCGGGCGCCCCGCGCCACCCCCAACCCUUGUCCGGGCUGAGGAAGACAUUUAAACCUAGAGAGAUGAAGUGACUGAUUCAAGGUCACACAGUGUUCGGGAUGGAAUCCAGACCUGAGUUUCUUACUGGUGCCUUGGGUGAUGCUGUGAUCAGGUCAAGAGGAAUCUGGACUUUGGAACUGAGACUCUGGGCCCUACCCCCAGCUCUGGGACUGACUAGUUCUGAGACUUCUAUAAUCCAUCUGUCAUGUAUCUGGGCCUCAGUUUUCCCAUCGACCUAUGCUAUCUUGUGAAUUCCACACCACCCACUUUAUGGAUGAAGCCACUGAGAUAUGAAACAACAGACUAAAUAGUCACUGCCCUACCCUUGGAGCCUCACACAUGACUCUUCUCUCAUUCAAGUGACCACAGGUUGGUUAAGGGGUUUACCAAGGCUGGGAUAGUGAAUCAGCUAUAGACUUUGGAAGUUGAGCCAAAGGAUUUAUACUCCAUUUAGAGGGAUGAUUUUUGCUGCUUCUUUUUUUGUUUCUGAACUCAGCACUUCAUGCUUACAAAGCAGUCACUCUGAGCACUUGAGCUACAUCUCCAAUCCAUUUUGUUCUGGUAAUUUUGGAGAUGAGGUCUCAAACUACUUACCUGAGCUGUCUUUGAACUACAGUCCUUCAAGUCAUCCUCCCAAGUAGCUAGGAUUACAGGUGGAAACUACUAGUAUGCAACUGCUUUCUUUUUUACCUUGGUAUGUUAUGUAAAACUUUCAAAGUGAUUUUACAUUAUUUGUUUAAUGAUCUUAGAUAACUUUGCCACUAAGUUAUGUCCACUUUACAGAUGAACCAUAUUUGGAUGAGAAGAAAGAAGUGACUUGCCUUA